rnacentral:rRNA from 1 species
UACAGAGGUCUCAAGCGUUGUUCGGAUUCAUUGGGCGUAAAGGGUGCGUAGGUGGCGCGCUAAGUCAGGUGUGAAAUCUCGGAGCUUAACUCCGAAACUGCAUUCGAUACUGCCGUGCUUGAGGACUGGAGAGGAGACUGGAAUUCCUGGUGUAGCGGUGAAAUGCGCAGAUAUCAGGAGGAACACCGGUGGCGAAGGCGGGUCUCUGGGCCGAUACUGACGCUGAGGAGCGAAAGCGUGGGGAGCGAACAGG